rnacentral:lncRNA from 1 species
UUGGAGCCCCAUUUACAGAGACAAAUGGGGAGAGGGAGGAAGUCCAAGGACUAAGCUGAAGGAGAAGAAAACAUGCUUGGAUAACGUGCUGCACACUGGUGGGACUGGUGGGAGUGAUGGAGGAGAGAGCUGAGCAGAGAAACGACAGCACAGUUUGGACACAUCUCUGAGGAGCCAGAGCAGAGCUGCCUGCACUGGAUACAGUCAUGGUAUCUGCAGCACAGCAAUUGUAUGCAAGAAAAUAAUUGUUCCUACCAGUGGCAAUAAUGAGGACGAAGAAAAUUCAGCAAGGAGAAUAACAAUUAAGGU